GAUGAGUCCGCGUCCCAUCAGCUAGUUGGUAGGGUAACGGCCUACCGAGGCUUCGACGGGUAGCCGGCUUGAGAGAGCGAUCGGCCACAAGGGGACUGAGACACGGCCCCUACUCCUACGGGAGGCAGCAGUAGGGAAUUUUGGUCAAUGGGGGAAACCCUGAACCAGCGACGCCGCGUGGGUGAUGAAAUCCUUCGGGAUGUAAAACCCUUUUCAUUGGGACGAAACAAAGAUGACGGUACCAGUGGAAUAAGCCUCGGCUAACUCCGUGCCAGCAGCCGCGGUAAGACGGGGGAGGCAAGCGUUGUCCGGAAUCACUGGGUGUAAAGGGCGUGUAGGCGGGCCUUUAAGUCGAUUGUGAAAUUUCUCGGCUCAACCGGGAAACUGCAGUCGAUACUAUUGGCCUUGAGUGCGGAAGGGGAGAAUGGAAUUCCUGGUGUAGCGGUGAAAUGCGUAGAUAUCAGGAGGAACACCGGUGGCGAAGGCGAUUCUCUGGUCCUGCACUGACGCUAAGGCGCGAAAGCAAGGGGAGCAAACAGAAUUAGAUACUCUGGUAGUCCUUGCCCUAAACGAUGGGUACUAGGUGUUCGUCCUUUUAAAGGAGGAGUGCCGAAGCUAACGCAUUAAGUACCCC
rnacentral:rRNA from 1 species